rnacentral:lncRNA from 1 species
CCCUGGUUCAGGCUUUAUUUAAACUCUUUGUUCAAAAAAAAUGAACAGAGUGAUAGUCGGGUUCUAAUUUACAGAUAUAGUUUAGAUGUCUAAUAUUAAAUUAGAAGAUCACACAAGAAAAACCAUUUACACAUAAAGGUUAAAACCAAUACUUAAACUUUUAAAAACUUUAUAUUACAUAAAGCCAAAAUGAAACUAAAUACAUGUUAGCCAACUUCAUUCACAAACAGUAGUCAAAAUAUAUACACUUAAAAAGAAAAAAGCUACAAAUGAGGUUCUUUUCUCUAAAAUGUGUUUUAUCAUCAUUUGCAAAUGAAUUGCAGGUGAUCUAAAAAAUAAGCUAAUUAGGGAGGGAACUCCAAAACACAUUUAAGCGGUUUGAGUUGGUGGAGAAAUGCUAGCUGAAAGAAGAGACAUCUGUCAAAACAAUUCUGGUUUUUGUUUUGUUUUGCAAACUCAGCCAUAAUGAAAAAAUAGGAACAAUGCCUUUUUCUGUGUAAACUGUGUCAAAAAUUCUAGCAAGUGGACUCAGGGAGACUUGUAGUAGAUUUUUUUUUUUAAGGG